rnacentral:rRNA from 1 species
UCUGAGCAUCAUCUUGAACACUGCAAUCUCAUUUGAUCUCAGAUGUUAAACUGUUUUGGGCCUGGUUAGUACUUGGAUGGAAGAGCACAAGCAAAUAUUAGGGGUCUCUAGGC